AAACUCUCCUCUUCCUCCCCAUCCAUCCAUCCGAAGAGAUCCGAAUUCGAUUUCCUCUUGGGUUUUUGAUUUUUUUUUAGGGUUUUCUCUCAAUUUGGAUGGAAAAUUCAACCUCUUCACUACCUAACCCUAAAAGAAGCUUCCUUUGUCUCCGCCGCCACACCUCCUCUCACCUCUGUUGCUGUUGAUUCCCAAAAAGGAACAAACUUUCGAUCAUGGACCGUGCAGCUCAAUCAGAUCUCUCGUUGGGAUUCACCAGCAGCUCCCACGCCUUGCCUCCACCUCCCCCGAGAAUCCCCAUCGCUGACGACUCGAUCACGCUCCAAAUCGACUCCAGCUUCCGCCCUUCCUCUAACCCCACGCCUCCCGUUCCUCUCCAGCUCCUCGAGCAGAGAUUCGACUACGACGCCGGAUCAUCUCGCGGCCGUGUCGUGAUCCAUAAAGACGAAGACUUUGAAGCUGAUGAUGAUGAUCAGAGGGAAGAGUUCAUCUUGUUGGGUCAGUCUCUGAAGCUAAAACGCUGCAGAGGAAGCAUCAGCAGCAGCUCGAGCCCAAGCCCUUGUAAGCGAUUCGCAGUUGAUCCGGAGAGCAGACGAGCUGCAGUCAAAGCCUGGGGUGACCAGCCGCUCCAAGAAGCUGAUCCCGUGAUUCACGAGAUUAUGGAGAAGGAGAAACAGAGACAGUUCAGAGGGAUCGAGCUCAUAGCUUCCGAGAAUUUCGUCUGUAGAGCUGUGAUGGAAGCUUUGGGAAGCCACUUGACUAAUAAGUACUCCGAAGGCAUGCCUGGAGCUAGAUACUACACAGGGAACCAGUACAUUGAUCAGAUUGAGAAUCUCUGCCAAGAACGUGCGCUGCAAGCUUUCGGCCUUGACCGUGACCAUUGGGGUGUUAACGUGCAGCCUUACUCCUGCACUUCGGCGAACUUCGCGGUUUUCUCUGGUCUUUUGCUCCCUGGUGAAAGGAUCAUGGGGUUGGAUUCUCCCUCGGGGGGUCAUAUGAGUCAUGGUUACUACACGCCUGGUGGGAAGAAAGUGUCGGGUGCGUCUAUCUUCUUUGAGAGCUUUCCGUAUAAGGUGGACCCUCGUACGGGGUAUAUUGAUUACGAGAAGCUUGAGGAGAAGGCGCUUGACUAUCGUCCCAAGAUACUUAUCUGUGGAGGGAGUUCGUAUCCGAGAGACUGGGACUUUCCUAGGUUUAGGUAUGUUGCUGACAAGUGUGGUGCUGUUCUCAUGUUUGACAUGGCACAGAUUAGCGGUCUUGUGGCUGCCAAGGAAAGUCCAAAUCCGUUUGAUUAUUGCGAUAUAGUUACCUCGACGACACACAAGUCUCUCCGUGGACCUAGGGGCGGUAUCAUAUUCUACAGGAGAGGGUUGAAGGGCAAGAAGCAAAGCAUAAAUCUUAAUCACUGUGAGAGCAAUAUACAGUAUGAUUACGAAGAGAAGAUAAACUUUUCUGUCUUCCCAUCGCUGCAAGGAGGUCCUCACAAUAACCAUAUAGCUGCUCUAGCCAUUGCCCUCAAGCAGGCAGCUUCACCAGAGUACAAGGCUUACAUGCGACAGGUCAAGAAGAAUGCUAAGGCUUUAGCAUCUGCUUUGAUUAGCAAAAACUGCAAGUUGGUAACGAAUGGCACCGAUAAUCAUUUGAUGCUCUGGGAUCUGACCCCUCUGGGCUUGACAGGCAAGGUGUAUGAGAAAGUAUGCGAGAUGUGCCAUAUCACGGUCAACAAAGUCGCCAUCUUCAGUGAAAAUGGUGUUAUUUCCCCUGGAGGUGUGAGAAUAGGUAGUCCGGCUAUGACUUCGAGGGGUUGUCUGGAACCAGAUUUUGAGACAAUGGCUGAGUUUCUGUAUAGAGCUGCUCUGAUAGCAAGUGCUGCACAAAGGGAGCAGGGGAAGUCGCAGAGGGAACCACUCAAAAGCAUCUAUCACUGUAAAGACAUUGCAGAUCUUAGGAACCAAGUCGAGGCUUUUGCUUCUCAGUUUGCAAUGCCUGCGUUUGAGAUUUGAGUCAGCCUGCAAAGAAUGUGACAGCACAAACCUCCCUCAUUUUUUUGUCGCCAAGCUGAGAAAGUUGGUGUCCUACUUGGGAGGCAAAGCAUGGAUUUCUGUGGGUUCAACUGUUUUUCACCAAGGAAUACCAAGUGAAUUGACACUUUUGGUACUUGAUUGAUGCACAUAUACCAAGUGGUUCUCAAGGGUUGAGAUUUACUCAUUGAUACAAAAAAUGAAUAUUUUGUCAAAGAUGUUCUUUUGUGUAGUAAAAGGAGAAAGCAAAGAUGGGUGAA